AACGCGACGCGAGCAGUUGUAUUUCGUCCGAUUAGUUGUUUAAUUUCCGUUUUAAACCUAAAUAAAAGUUCUAUGUGUAUAUGUUUUUUGUGAAAUAGAACGACAUUUUAUUUGAAGAAUAGAAAAUAGACAGUGAACCGUGGAGUUUUUGUGUGUUUCUGGACUAUUUUUGUUGCCUGUAUCAAACGUUGAACAAGUGCACAAUGGAGAAGAAAAAGUGUGGAGAAUGUAAACAUGACAUUUGCGAUCUCGAACCGUUGUGCUGCGGCUUCUGUGAAUCGUUUUAUCACAUCAGCCAGCAGUGCUGUGGAAUCAAUAUUCGGGCGAUAAAAGAUUCACUCCUGUCAGGCAAGGCGCUGUUUAUUUGCCCUCCGUGUAGGAUCGAGCUGAAUGGUCGUUCGAUUCGCUCCUAUUUUGCCGACAAUAACAGUCAGGGUUGUAAAUAUUCGGCAGCACUGGAUGAAGGAGAGGCAGAAAAGUAAACAACAGAACUCACAUCACUCACAGCGCCGCGAAGAUGAAAUUUACCACAGCAAAAUGUACACAUUCACCCAGCAAAUUGAAAAAAUUCACCACGCGUUUAAAUGGGCCACUCACAGUCAUACGGUAAGGUGCGAACUGAGCAGCAUGUCAGAGCGACUUGUGAGUGGCUGAAUGCGAAAUUGAAUAGUCGGCGUUGGAAAUGAUUUUUCGGCUGCACCCAGUCGCACUCACCACGGCGGCGAUGAAGGCGAUAGCAGAUUUUACUGAGAUCCAUGUUUUUCACUGCAUUGACUGUGAAAUAUUUCUGCCCUGAUAACAGUAGCCAACCAUCGGUAAUGAAUCCACACGAUCAAGCACUCGUUGAUUUACCUGAACGUGUUCAGCAGCUUUUUGAUAUUGUUGCUGACUUAAGCAAAAAAAUCGAUGUUUUCACCGGUAAGUCGCAACAAGCAAAAAUGGUCUCGGUGCCUCAGGAUUGGCCACGACUUGGAGUGAAGCGCCGUCGAGAAGAUCGACGAAUGGAAAUGGAUGCACCCGUUGCCAGUGGAACUAAGCUUAUUGAUCUCAGCGAUCUUUCUAUACCAUCCAUCAUACAAGCACCGCCACCGGAAAAGUUCUGGUUGUACCUGUCCGGACUGAAUCCUCUCAUUACCGAUAAUGACGUUCAGUUGGUCGUAUCUCGCUGCUUAAGCACUGCUGACCCUGCUGUUGUGACUCGUUUAGUUCCCAAGGGAAAAGAUGUUUCCAACAUGUCAUUCGUCUCCUACAAGAUUGGAUUGGACCCGUCUCUGAAAGAAACAGCACUGGAUCCAGCAUC